UACAGAGGGUGCGAGCGUUAAUCGGAAUUACUGGGCGUAAAGCGUGCGUAGACGGUUAUUUAAGUCGGGUGUGAAAGCCCCGGGCUCAACCUGGGAAUUGCAUUCGAGACUGAAUAGCUAGGGUACGGUAGAGGGAAGCGGAAUUUUCCGGUGUAGCGGUGAAAUGCGCAGAUAUCAGGAGGAACACCGGUGGCGAAGGCGGUUCUCUGGGCAUUACCUGACGUGAGGAGCGAAAGCGUGGGGAGCAAACAGG
rnacentral:rRNA from 1 species